GUGGGGAAUUUUGGACAAUGGGCGCAAGCCUGAUCCAGCAAUGCCGCGUGCAGGAAGAAGGCCUUCGGGUUGUAAACUGCUUUUGUACGGAACGAAACGGUCCGGGUUAAUACCCUGGGCUAAUGACGGUACCGUAAGAAUAAGCACCGGCUAACUACGUGCCAGCAGCCGCGGUAAUACGUAGGGUGCAAGCGUUAAUCGGAAUUACUGGGCGUAAAGCGUGCGCAGGCGGUUUUGUAAGACAGGCGUGAAAUCCCCGGGCUCAACCUGGGAAUUGCGCUUGUGACUGCAAGGCUGGAGUGCAGCAGAGGGGGAUGGAAUUCCGCGUGUAGCAGUGAAAUGCGUAGAUAUGCGGAGGAACACCGAUGGCGAAGGCAAUCCCCUGGGCCUGCACUGACGCUCAUGCACGAAAGCGUGGGGAGCAAACAGGAUUAGAAACCCGAGUAGUCC
rnacentral:rRNA from 1 species